AAUGUGAAUUGCAGAAUUCAGUGAAUCAUCGAAUCUUUGAACGCACCUUGCGCCCCUUGGAAUUCCGAGGGGCACACCCGUUUGAGUGUCGUGAACAUCCUUCAACCUUUCUUGGUUUCUUGACCGAGGAAGGCUUGGACUUUGGGGGUCUUUCAUUGCUGGCCUCUUUGAAGCCAGCUCCUCCUAAAUGGAUUAGUGUGGUCUGCUUUGCCGAUCCUUGACGUGAUAAGAUGUUUCUACGUCUUGGGUUUUGCACUGUCGCUUUAGACCCCGCUUCUAACUGUCUCGUCUUGCAUUCAAGACAGAGUUUUUAAACCUUGACCUCAAAUCGGGUGAGACUACCCGCUGAACUUAA
rnacentral:sRNA from 1 species